AUGACUAAUUUUUCUUUCACGUGCGCUCCUCCCUCUAAUUACAUGCAUAUAUACACUAAAGAACAAAAAACUGAUGUCACUCUAGAUUUUUUUUUUCAAACUUUAAAAUAUUCUGUAGCUCAAACCGUUUCUUCGAUUAAAAAACCGUCUUCACGAAAAAAAUUCGUCUGGACGAGAUCUUCGAAACUCGAUCCUAUAUUUAUAUGUUCUGGUGGCUCUUUUUUCAGACUAAAAGUUACCACAUCUGGGCUACAUAAAUUAUCACAUCUGUCAUACAUAAGUUACCGUGUCAUUUACACACAAAAAUUCACGGUAUGUUUUCAACAAACUUUUAUCCCAAGAUCAAAAUGUGAUUAUGAUGUUUGCAGUGAGUUAUCAGCUUUAUUGUGUAUAUUAUCAUGUUGCACAAAAGUUAUCGGGGUAUGUUUUUCAACAAUUUUCAUUCCCUCGGUCAAAAAAUUACCGCGAUAUUUGUAUAUGAGCUAUCAGCUCUCAUCUGUGUGUAUUAUCACAUUGUUUACACAUGAGUUAUUGGGAGGUAUUUUUUAA
rnacentral:rRNA from 1 species